rnacentral:lncRNA from 1 species
GUAAAUUGCUUGUUUAUUUACAAACUCUCUCUUUUCUGUCUCUUUUUAUUUUGCUCCUGCCUUUUUAAAAUAAUUAUUAUUAUUUUGCUCACAAGUGAAAGUUAGCAGGACUUUGAGUAUGUGGAUGACACCAGCCCCUUCUGUUGAAACAGCACAGUCUGCACACUGCUGAGGCACCGUGGCUCACAGAGCUCUUAAUGGAGAUCUCCUCCACCUGCUCCAAUGACAUACCUGUUGUUGAGAAGAAGCUACCCAGCUGCAGCAGUGAAGGCAGUGUGCUGAGUCCCAGUCAUAUAAAUCUACUGGGUAAAUGUUGUUAUCUUGAACACGUUAUUUUGGGAGUUAGAUAUCUGAAAGAUGAAAGACAGCAUCAAGAUGCAAAAGGAGAGCUGGAUAUUUUGUUUAUAAAGACACAUGUGAAGAAAAAAGAGCACCCAAACAUUGAAUGGAAAGAGAGGAGCAUUACCAUGUUGACAAGUACCAAUGUUUAAAUUCAGACAGAAAUCGCUACUGAACUGCAGCAGUCCAUCCUUUCAUUUUAACAAUGAUCUGGGAGAAUGAGAUUGCAGUGGGACCUUAAUUUCCCUUGUUAGAGCUGUAGCAUUUGGGGCUGAUGAAGUUCACAGUAAACCCGUCACAAAUGAACCUUACCUGAUAUAUUAUCUAUGGAGGCCAUAUAAUGAGCAUCUGGUGGAAACAGCAGUCUGUAUGUGAAGCAGCAGCUACUAAACUGCUGAGGUGCAGUGCAUUGUAUUUGGUGAGUUCAUCCAGGAGGAAGAAGAAUCAGGCUUUCAUUGAACUUGGGUAAACAGGCUGCCUGUGGGCCCAAAGGACUGUGCAAGGCACACUGUGAAAUGCAAUCCUUCACUUUACCAAGCUGCAAAGCAGCUGUGUGCCCUUUGCUGAACCUUUUGAAAAAUAAGGGUCUGGCUGAAACAAGGCCACAAAGAGAAUUCACUUUUACAGUCUGCCAGUGAACUACUGGGACAACUGAUGCCAGCUGUGACCAGAAAAGAUGUUUCCUUCUGAUUCCAAAACAUUUACUGGCGAGCCUGGAUUGAUGGACAUGUAGUGUUCUGUCACCCAGUGCCACAUUGGUCAUGAUAAAGGAUUGUUCAGGGUAGAUAAGGCCUUCAGUAAGAGAUGAAAAAUGAUGCUACCUUCCAGAGGGCUUGCAAACACAUGGACAAAAUGUUAUGAAUAACUUCAGAAUGUGAAAAUCACUGUACUGGAUGAAAACAAAGGAAUUGCUUUCAGGGUAAAAAGUGGUAAGAAUAAUGAACCCAUUGCUUAAGGGUUUGGUUACUGACACCUUCUUCUGAAGGACCUUCAAGGGAAGAGGAAAGUGAAUGUCUUUGAAAGUGCAUAUUUAGAAUAACUAUUCUCUCUCUUAACUCACUGUUUGGAUGGAAAGCAGUCAGUGAUCGACACCCCACAAUAGCUGUAUGUAACAGAUUAAAGCACUGAGAAGAAAUGCUUCCUGCUAAAAUAAAUAGGAAAUAUAGACAGCCA